AUUGAACGCUGGCGGCAGGCUUAACACAUGCAAGUCGAGCGGGGGAAGGUAGCUUGCUACCGGACCUAGCGGCGGACGGGUGAGUAAUGCUUAGGAAUCUGCCUCUUAGUGGGGGACAACAUCUCGAAAGGGAUGCUAAUACCGCAUACGUCCUACGGGAGAAAGCAGGGGAUCUUCGGAACUUGCGCUAAUAGAUGAGCCUAAGUCGGGUUAGCUAGUUGGUGGGGUAAAGGCCUACCAAGGCGACGAUCUGUCGCGGGUCUGAGGGGAUGAUUCGCCAGCCUGGGAGGGAGACCGGGCCCAGAGGGCUACGGAAGGGAGCAGUAGGGAAUAUUGGACAAUGGGGGGAACCCUGAUCAAGCCAUGCCGCGUGUGUAAAGAAGGACGUAGGGUUGUAAAGCACUUUAAGCGAGGAGGAGGCUACUUUAGUUAAUACCUAGAGAUGGGGGACGGUACUGGCAGAAUAAGCACCGGCUAACUCUGUG
rnacentral:rRNA from 1 species